GCCCGGAUGGUGGAAUUGGUAGACACAAGGGACUUAAAAUCCCUCGAUGGCAACAUCGUGCCGGUUCGAUUCCGGCUCCGGGCACCA
rnacentral:tRNA from 1 species